GGAUUAGAUACCCUGGUAGUCCACGCCGUAAACGGUGAGAGCUCGUCGUAGUGGGUAUUGACCCCUGCUGUGACCAAGUUAACGCAUGAAGCUCUCCGCCUGGGAAGUACGGUCGCAAGACUAAAACUCAAAGAAAUUGACGGGGGCCCGCACAAGCGGUGGAGCAUGUUGUUUAAUUCGAAGCAACGCGCAGAACCUUACCUGGAUUUGACAUCCUCGGAACCUUCCUGAAAGGGAAGGGUGCCUUCGGGAGCCGAGAGACAGGUGCUGCAUGGCUGUCGUCAGCUCGUGCCG
rnacentral:rRNA from 1 species